rnacentral:rRNA from 1 species
AACAAACGCUGGCGGCGUGCCUAACACAUGCAAGUCGUACGAGAAAGUCGGCUUCGGCCGAUGAGUACAGUGGCGCACGGGUGAGUAGCGCGUGGGUAAUCUGCCCCCCGGUCAGGAAUAACCCGCCGAAAGGCGGGCUAAUACCCGAUAACACUGACGCUCCGCGGAGCGUCUUUCAAAGAAGGCCUCUGUUUACAAGCUUUCGCCGGAGGAUGAGCCCGCGUACCAUUAGGUAGUUGGUAGGGUAAUGGCCUACCAAGCCGACGAUCCUUAGCUGGUCUGAGAGGAUGAUCAGCCACACUGGGACUGAGACACGGCCCAGACUCCUACGGGAGGCAGCAGUGGGGAAUAUUGGACAAUGGGGCAAAGCCUGAUCCAGCAAUGCCGCGUGAGUGAUGAAGGCCUUAGGGUUGUAAAGCUCUUUUGUCCGGGAAGAUAAUGACUGUACCGGAAGAAUAAGCCCCGGCUAACUUCGUGCCAGCAGCCGCGGUAAACA